GAUGAACGCUAGCUACAGGCUUAACACAUGCAAGUCGAGGGGCAGCAUGAACAUAGCUUGCUAUGUUUGAUGGCGACCGGCGCACGGGUGCGUAACACGUAUCCAAUCUGCCCGUUACUCGGGGAUAGCCUUCUGAAAGGAAGAUUAAUACCCGAUGGCAUUCAUUGGCGGCAUCGCUUUUGAAUUAAAGAUUUAUCGGUAACGGAUGAGGAUGCGUACGAUUAGCUGGUUGGCGGGGUAACGGCCCACCAAGGCAACGAUCGUUAGGGGUUCUGAGAGGAAGGUCCCCCACACUGGAACUGAGACACGGUCCAGACUCCUAAGGGAGGCAGCAGUGAGGAAUAUUGGUCAAUGGGCGAGAGCCUGAACCAGCCAAGUAGCGUGAAGGAUGACUGCCCUACGGGUUGUAAACUUCUUUUGUUUGGGAAUAAAAGACGCUACGUGUAGCGUUCUGCAUGUACCUUACGAAUAAGCAUCGGCUAAUUCCGUGCCAGCCGCCGCCGUAACAC
rnacentral:rRNA from 1 species